AGAGUUUGAUCAUGGCUCAGAACGUACGCUGGCGGCACGCCUAACACAUGCAAGUCGAACGAAGUAGCAAUACUUAGUGGCAGACGGGUGAGUAACAUGUGGGUAUCUACCCUUUGGCCUGGAAUAACACGAGGAAACUUGUGCUAAUACCGGAUAAGUCUUUACGGAGAAAGCUUUAUGCACCAUUGGAUGAGCCCGCACUUGAUUAGUUUGUUGGUAGGGUAAUGGCCUACCAAGACUAUGAUCAAUAGCUGAUUUGAGAGGAUGAUCAGCCACAUUGGGACUGAGACACGGCCCAAACUCCUACGGGAGGCAGCAGUGGGGAAUCUUGCACAAUGGAGGAAACUCUGAUGCAGCGAUGCCGCGUGAGUGAAGAAGGCCUUUGGGUUGUAAAGCUCUUUCGUCGGGGAAGAAAAUGACUGUACCCGAAUAAGAAGGUCCGGCUAACUUCGUGCCAGCAGCCGCGGUAAUACGAAGGGACCUAGCGUAGUUCGGAAUUACUGGGCUUAAAGAGUUCGUAGGUGGUUGAAAAAGUUGGUGGUGAAAUCCCAGAGCUUAACUCUGGAACUGCCAUCAAAACUUUUCAGCUAGAGUAUGAUAGAGGAAAGCAGAAUUUCUAGUGUAGAGGUGAAAUUCGUAGAUAUUAGAAAGAAUACCAACUGCGAAGGCAGCUUUCUGGAUCAUUACUGACACUGAGGAACGAAAGCAUGGGUAGCGAAGAGGAUUAGAUACCCUCGUAGUCCAUGCCGUAAACGAUGUGUGUUAGACGUUGGAAAUUUAUUUUCAGUGUCGCAGGAAACCGAUAAACACACCGCCUGGGGAGUACGACCGCAAGUUAAAACUCAAAUGAAUUGACG
rnacentral:rRNA from 1 species